CAACUGGCCCACCCAAGUCAGCCAACUCUAAAUGCCUUCAAAAGAACAACUUGUGUGGACGAGCUUGUCAGCCAGCCCUGUACUGUGCCACCUGCCAGGGUGAGGGGUAGGCAGUGAACCCACAAAUGAGCCCCCAGCCUUUCAGCACGUGACCUGUUCCAAACUUGAGCCCAGAGUAAGCUUACAUAACUUGACAGAAGGGCCCGGGACAAAGUCUGUGAGCUCAGAAAGCUCUUCGACUGAAAAAGCCAACACGUAACUGGAGCAACCUCGUUACUUUGUGCAGAGUUCUCAAUGAUGAAAGCAUGCUGAUGUUUUUAUUCAUGCUCGCUGAUUUAAUCAAGGGGCUGGAAUUUUAUUUUCCUCACCAGCAGAGGAUGAGUGGAGCCCAAGUACCGCGUGAUUCAGCCUCCGCUGGCUUCAGCCUCGACUGCACGGCGGCAGAGAAGGAGCGCCGUGAUUGCAGCAGCAGCUCAGUCACCCCGUCCUCAACUCUCAGAGGCGGCACUGACCCUGGGGACCACCCUCCACCCCCUGCAGGGAGGAAACAGGAAAGGAAGAAACGGAAAAAUGAUUCUGGCAACGGCCAAGGAUUCCUGAGUUUGAAGGCUGGCCUCCCACCUCUGCCUCAUCCCCUCCUCCAUGCUCAGGAAAAAAAAAAAGGGAAAAAUAGAAAUAAAAAAGCUCUAGUUGUCUCUAAUUGCUGCAGUUGGCUGAGCUUUCUCUCCCAUCAGCAGGAGAGUGCAUUUCCUCAUCCAUCACAACAUUCAGAUAGCCCGGCUCAUGCCCUACAAGUGUCAUUCUGUCCAGUGACAAACAGAUUUCAAUUGUCAUUUACCUGAGCUGCAUUUUAAAAUGGAACUCAAGGGACUGUGGAGGCAGAACCCCCCAGCUCCCCAGAUGUCGGCAACGAGCAGUGCUGGGGCGCUGCACGUAUGUCUCCCUUCCCGGGUAGUUUUGCAUCCUUUAGUUCCGGUUUGUGCUGCUUGCGGUGGGCUGCCGGGUCUGUUUUGAUCAGGAUAAAGUAAGCGGUGUUUGGGGACAUGAUAUCUGAUGGCUGAAGGGAGAGGCGGUGGCCGAGCUGCUCUGGCUGCUGACCACCAACCACACUUAACUGCUGAGAUGUCAGAACAUUCAAAACAGUGUUCCCUCCUGCUGACUCAGUCCUGGGUGUCACAUGUCUUCAAGGGCUGGUGAUGGCCGGGUCCCCUUCUAACUCACAUCCAAAGGCUUCAUCAUCCCAAAGUCAGAGCUGGCGCCAGCUCUGCCCAGGUUCGGGGGAGACGUUAGCCAACCUGUGGGAGCCACUACCUCCCCCAGCCGGACUCAGCACCCCCGAUCAGCAUGGGAAAUUCUUACACACGUAUCUACCUUGGACAGGUGAGCUGCAUUUUUUGAUCAUUUAUGCCCCAGGUGCUUUUUGACUUCUCAUACUGAAUGAGUACUACAUAUUACGUCUGACCAUCAUACAGCAGCUAAAACUGCACCAUUACAUCUUGCCCAUCUGCCACCGGGUCUAUAGUGCAGAUCCCAGCUCUCUCACUCAUUAGCUGUUUAACUGGUUGAAUCGCUUCACCACUCUGAGUCUCCAUUUCCCCACUAUAAAAACAAGGAAAGGGGCCCGUCUGGUGGCACAGUGGUUAAG
rnacentral:lncRNA from 1 species